AUUUAUGGUGGGCAGCUGAACUGCCCCGGCAUUGUCAGGACUCACUCAGGCUUUACCUUGGGUAGGCGGAACUGCAGGGAUUCCUGAAAGCAAUUUAGGGGCUAUUCUCAGUAAUAGGAAACUACUGAUAUCUGCCUUUGCAGAUGUCCGCAGCUGACGUCAGGAAUUUCAGACACCAUUGUGCAAGUUUUGUUCUAACCUGUAAAACUUGUUGCAGUGAUGAUUAGGGAUAUGACAACUUUCAGAAAAAUUCAUAGACCGCAGAGUUUUGGACCUGAAUUUGAAAAUAUUUGUGUGUCUGGAGAUUGUUGAAAAUUGUUACUUGAAUGACACGUUCAAGAUUUGCAUGCUUCAGCUGGAGCUGCUGAUGGAUUUGAGCACAGCUUUGCCAGAAACUGAACCAAAAAAAAUGUGAAGAGGAGGCUGUAAGAUGCAAACAAGAAAUGGAGGACCCACAGAAAAGUAUCUGUGUAGAAUAAUACGGGACCAGACUGGAUCUGAAGAUGUGGGAAGAUGGAAAUGAAAUGCAUCUUAGGACAACCUGGUGAGAUCAGAGUUCUAGCUUGUGGUUGCCUCACUUGUACACCUUGAGUACCUCUAAUGUGUAUACACAGAACAAGGCUAUCUUAGCUUCACUCAGUGGGAGAAACACAGUGUUUCUGUCCUUUACAUUAAUCCUUCUGUACUUUGAUGUAAAUACUAAUUUUCCAUGAAGGAUAUUCUUUUUCUCAUUUUUGUAUUGCUCUCUGCCACAUACAGCAACCACUGAAUUUGGGCUCACUGUUUUUCUUACAGAAGUACUGCUCUCAAUGUUUUUUAUUUGGCCAUAUGAUGCUAUUGCUGCCACUGCACUAAAACUUGCUGUCCUUGUAGGAAGGUUAAUCUUGUCUAAUGCAAGACUUUGGACUUCAGAUAUGUUAUUUUCCCUCAUUGUUUUACUCUUAUUGAACAUCAGCAUAAGGUGUACAUUCAUAGUUCAUGAACAUUAACCCUACACAUUUCUUUUCACAUGGCCAACCAUUCUGAAAGUGUAUUUCAUGCAGAGACUAAUGAAAACACUCGUUCUUCUACUUCUUUCCCAAAUUUAUAUCAAUAAGUGAAAUUCAAUUUUA